AGCGAACGUUUGCGGCGGGCUUAACACAUGCAAGUCGAACGAGAAUCUCCGCUUCGGUGGAGAGGAAAGUGGCGCACGGGUGCGUAACACGUGGGUAAUCAACCCUUUAGACUGGGACAACCCGGGGAAACUCGGGCUAAUACCGGAUGUGGCGAUAAGGUCUUCGGGCCUAGUCGUGAAAGGAGCAAUCCGCUAGAGGACGAGCCCGCGGCCCAUCAGUUAGUUGGGGAGGUAAUGGCUCACCAAGACGAAGACGGGUAGCUGGUCUGAGAGGAUGAUCAGCCACACUGGAACUGAGACACGGUCCAG
rnacentral:rRNA from 1 species